rnacentral:rRNA from 1 species
AGUGAACGCUGGCGGUAGGCCUAACACAUGCAAGUCGAACGGCAGCACAGUAAGAGCUUGCCCUUACGGGUGGCGAGUGGCGGACGGGUGAGGAAUACAUCGGAAUCUACUUUUUCGUGGGGGAUAACGUAGGGAAACUUACGCUAAUACCGCAUACGACCUACGGGUGAAAGCAGGGGAUCUUCGGACCUUGCGCGACUGAAUGAGCCGAUGUCGGAUUAGCUAGUUGGCGGGGUAAAGGCCCACCAAGGCGACGAUCCGUAGCUGGUCUGAGAGGAUGAUCAGCCACACUGGAACUGAGACACGGUCCAGACUCCUACGGGAGGCAGCAGUGGGGAAUAUUGGACAAUGGGCGCAAGCCUGAUCCAGCCAUACCGCGUGGGUGAAGAAGGCCUUCGGGUUGUAAAGCCCUUUUGUUGGGAAAGAAAAGCAGCAGGUUAAUACCCCGCUGUUCUGACGGUACCCAAAGAAUAAGCACCGGCUAACUUCGUG